GCCGGGGUGGUGGAAUGGUAGACACCGGGGACUUAAAAUCCCCUGGCCGCAAGGCCGUAUGAGUUCAAAUCUCAUUCCCGGCA
rnacentral:tRNA from 2 species